CUGCCCAGUAUCCGAGCCCACCGGAUUCCUACACUCCAGCCAUGGUUCCCUCGCCGCUCGCGUGGCUGCUGCGCCUGGCCGCGUUCUACCAUCUGUGCACCCCGCUGGCGGGUCAACACCUCGGCGUGACGAAAUGCAACAUCACAUGCCACAAGAUGACCUCACCAAUCCCUGUGGCUCUGCUCAUCCACUAUCGGCCGAAUCAGGAAUCCUGCGGCAAGCAUGCCAUCAUCUUGGAGACGAGACAGCACAGACACUUCUGUGCUGAUCCAAAGGAGAAAUGGGUCCAAGACGCCAUGAAGCACCUUGACCGCCAGGCCGCUGCCCAGCCUCAGAAUAGUGGCAAGUUUGAGAAGUUGGUCAAUGUGACACCUGGGAUCACCCUGGCCGCCAGGGGACUGUCCCCAUCUGCACUGGCAGAGCCUGAAGUCACAGUGGAAGGCCUUACUUUGGAGCUGACUACUAUUGCCCAAGAGGCCCAGAGGCCCAUGGGGACUUCCCAGGAGCCGCCAGCAGCAGUGACUGGAUCUUCUCCCUCUACUUCCAAGGCACAGGAUGCAGGGCUUUCGGCCAAGCCUCAAACUACUGGGAUUUUUGGGGAGUCUGCUGUCUCUACCACCAUUUGGCAGAGUUCUGCUGUCUACCAAUCUGAAUCUAGGCUCAGGGCUGAGGAGAAGGCUACUGAGCCCCCAUCCACUACAGCCCCUUCUACCCAGGCACCCACCAGUUCACAGUCAACCCUGGAGGAGAAUGUUGGGCCUAAAAGCCAGCCCCCGUGGGUCCAGGGACAGAGCCCCAGUACAGAGAAGUCUCUAGGGACUGAGGAAACAAAUCAAGCUCAUACUGAUGAUUUCCAGGAGAGGGGGCCUGGCAAUAUAGUCCAUUCCUCAGUGGCCCCCGUCUCCUCUGAAGGGACCCCCAGCCGGGACCUGGUGACUUCAGGCAGUUGGCCUCCCAAGGCAGAAGAGCCCAUUCAUGCCACUGCAGACCCCCAGAAACUAAGCGUACUUAUCACUCCUGUCCCUGACACCCAGGAAGCCACCCGGAGGCAGGCAGUAGGUCUGCUGGCCUUCCUGGGCCUGCUCUUCUGUCUAGGGGUGGCCAUGUUUGCCUACCAGAGCCUCCAGGGCUGUCCCCGCAAAAUGGCGGGAGAGAUGGUGGAAGGCCUCCGCUAUGUCCCCCGUAGCUGCGGCAGUAACUCAUAUGUCCUGGUGCCAGUGUGAGUUGCCUGCCUGCCUGUGUCCAUAGUUCGAUUCAGACAGCUGCCUGGGGACCCCCAUCCUCAUACCCACCCAAGGUGAGGCAGUGGGAAUGGGGAGGUUGGGUCCUCCAGGAGCUACGUGCUCCAAGCCCCCAGUUGAGGCCCUGGAGGCCACCUUUUACCAUUACCCCCUUAUCAGAGACAGCCGGUGACCUUCCAGCUCACCUAUAUUUGAAAGACUCCUCUGCUGCUGGCUGGUUGGAGGGGCCUUUGACACCCCAACCCUAGUGAACUAUUAUUUAUUGAAUUCCCAGGCCCCGUGUCUCCUGUGAGCACCGUAGUCCACCCAUCUCACAAGCAGCAGGUCAGGCCCAUUUGCCUGUCCCUCUGACCUCUUCACAUCUUCUGGGUUUGCUGCGCUUGCCAGCCCCUUCCCCUCCCUGGCCAGCUGCGGUGCUAUCUCUCCUAUCUCUCCCUGUCCCCUGUACAGAGCACACUACUGUCACCACCAAUGCCCUGUCAUGUCCUUUCUUGCAUGAGGUUACCGCUGUGUCUCCUGGGGUUCUCUGGGAAGGGAGAUGAGCUAGCGUGGGGUUUUGCUGCACUCCUCCACAGAUUGUGCAGUGAUGGCAUGCUGCAUCUGAAGGCUGGGUCUAAACCCCACUCAGCUAUCUGCAGAACAAGGUGCCCCAUCUGUAACAGAAAAGAAGCGUGGCCCAGAGAUGGCAAUACCCCAUGGCCCUGACGUCGUCACUUCCUCUGAGAUCCUUGUCCCCAUCCCUGGAUGCAGCCCCCAGCCCUUCUCCACGCUGACGGUCACUGCCAUCCCACUGGACUGACACCCUGUGACUCUGAGGACGGGCAAGGGUGACUUGAGGGUUCAGGUCGUACCCUGUGGGCCCCCACAUGGGGGCUGAGUUGGGGACCUGCAAGAACAGAGGCCAACUCAGAAGGUCCCUCUGUGUCCUCACUAGGCACCCUACUCCACGCACCAAGAUGACAGCCACAGGUCCGCCCUGCCUGAAAGACAAGCCACAGAAGAGGAUGACGAGCCCUUGGGAGGCAGAGGAUCCAGGUGUCUGCUCAUCCCUGGUUCAUAUGAAGAUGAGAGAAGGGACCGGCUCUUCUAAAGAAACCAGGAAACUCAUUUGUAGGACCCCACUGUGAGCUGUCGUGCACACUGAGAACAGCGCAGGCUCAAGUCCAGGAGCCUAUGGGUAUCGUUCGUGAACUCUCAGAUGGACAUCUUUUAAAGCAGGAUCCUUCCUCUCUUUAUAUAUUUAUUUACUUAUUUUUACUUUUUGGAGUAGUGCUAAGACCCAGGGCCUCAAGCAUGCUAAGCAAGUGCGGUGCUCCUGAUCUUUUCCCGGUGUUUUGAGACAUCGUCGGACUGGCCUUGAACUCGUUCUGUAGCCCGGGCAGGUCUUAUAAUCCUCCCGCCUCAACCUCUUGAGCAGCUAGGAUGACAUAUUCUGUAGUUAUUAAUUAUCAAGGCGUGUUUCCGUCAAUAACAUCUUAGACUCAGUGUCUGUCUUAAAUUAGAGGCAGCAUAGGGCUGGGGAGGUAGCUAAGCAAUCAUGAGCGCUUGCUACUCUUGUAGAAGGCACAGGUUUGCUUCCCAGCACUCCCAUCAAGCAACUCACCGGGGAUCUGAUACUCUCACCUGGCCUCCACAGGCACCUAACAUACGCAUGCAGACACCCAUACAUACACAUUGAUUUUUCUAUAGUUUCUCAGUGACCCGAAGCAUCCAACACCAUAGGCCUGUGUUCCCAGCAGGUGACAGGUGGGGGUUAAGAGUGGGACUUAGAGCCUGUGCAUCCGCUGUCCUUUGCUUUUCAAUCGUCCCCCACUCUCUGCGCUCCAGGUUCACUGGGCUCCAUCAGUUGCUGGUUGCCAUCAUCGUCCUCUUGGUUUUCCUAUGGGCCUCCCUCCUACCCAUUUGCAUCCGGAGCAGGGACUUGCAGUUCCUGAAGGAUGGGGGCUACCUCCCCCCACUCCCUGCAAGCCACAGUUAGCUCAUCCACUGUGGCGGGAGCUCUUCAGACCUUCAUCCUACUGACCUGAUUCCCACAGCCAAGAAGGAACCACUACAGCCUGUUGUCCUAGGAUCUUCCCACCCUGCAGGAUGUGGCCACAGGCUUUUGGUUGGCAUUGCUGCAGGUACUAGUAACAUCCUAUGAAGAUUCAGGAAGAGGAAGGGAGUGGGGAAACUUGGAUCCCGGUUCAGGGCUCCCCAGGGGCUUUGCAGCGCUGUGGCCUCUCAUUUUUAUUUUCAGUUAGCAAGCUAGACUUAGCCAAAGCAGCUCCUACCACCGAUGCCAAGUUUGAAAGGGCAGU